ACACUGACUAAAAACAGAAACGUGGUCCUUUUAUUUUAUUUUGCCUUGAGAUUUAUUUUUAGAGUAUCUCAUCUUAAACUUGUAGUUCUGGAAAGGAUCGUUUAAAAAGUCUAAUCCAACCCCUUUGUGUUAUGAAUUAAAAAAUUACCGACCAGAGUGGUGAGAUAAUUUGUUCAAGAGCACAAUUACUUAGGGGACAAAGUUGAGACCUGAAGCCAAAUCUUCUGGUGCCCCCCAAAGUAGAGAGUAAUUUAGAAUUAGUCAGACCUGGUUUGCAUCUGUGCUCUGAUUUCUAUUUGUAUCUGUUUCCUCUGUAUAAGGGGCAUUAUAAUAAUUUACAGGGAACUUAUGAGAAAUAGAUGAGAAAAAUAUAUGAAGAGCACCUAGCAGAAUAUCAGAUUCAUUGUGAGUGCUCACCUUUACAGCCUCUUUCUCCUUUUUUACCCAAGAAAAACCAUGCUGCAGAAACUGUGAAGAUCUGAUUAAGGUAUUUUAGAACACGACUUUAGAAGCCAAUCUGAAAUCAUGGACAUUACUAAUGGAAGAUAAAUGUUCUAAUUGGUUAUAUGCAAGCAGGAAAAAUGGAGGACAUUUACUGGAUUGCCUGGACUUUCUCAAAUAACUAAACAAACUUAUUGAAGGCUUGUUUAGAAGUGAUUCAAAUAAUUCAAACUUUGAAAUUAUGUCACGUUCUAAAGAUGGUCCCAGGGUUCAGUAUGCCCUCUAAUCAGCACACCCCCAUCUGACUGCUGUGGGAGCAGCUGCAUUAUCUGCAUUUGGCCAAGUAAGCAAACUCUGCACCAUGUCCCAGUGUUUCUUGUUUGCUAAUGGGCUAGUGGUUAAAAACUGCUUAAAAACUCUAAUUACACAUUUUCAGAUAAUGCAGAGGUGGCAUAUGGUUGGCUUCAUUACUUGAAGAUAUACACAUACAGACUUUACUUGUAUACUUUGUCUGGUGCAUAGUAGCUAUUCAAUAAAUGCUUUAUAAAUGCCUGAAAAUGA